UGGGGAAUAUUGCACAAUGGGCGCAAGCCUGAUGCAGCCAUGCCACGUGUAUGAAGAAGGCCUUCGGGUUGUAAAGUACUUUCAGUCGGGAGGAAGGUGGUAAGGUUAAUAACCUUAUCAAUUGACGUUACCGACAGAAGAAGCACCGGCUAACUCCGUGCCAGCAGCCGCGGUAAUACGGAGGGUGCAAGCGUUAAUCGGAAUUACUGGGCGUAAAGCGCACGCAGGCGGUUGAUUGAGUCAGAUGUGAAAUCCCCGGGCUUAACCCGGGAAUUGCAUCUGAUACUGGUCAGCUAGAGUCUUGUAGAGGGGGGUAGAAUUCCAUGUGUAGCGGUGAAAUGCGUAGAGAUGUGGAGGAAUACCGGUGGCGAAGGCGGCCCCCUGGACAAAGACUGACGCUCAGGUGCGAAAGCGUGGGGAGCAAACAGG
rnacentral:rRNA from 1 species